UACGAAGGGGGCUAGCGUUGUCCGGAUUUAUUGGGCGUAAAGAGCGUGUAGGCGGCCAGACAGGUCAGCUGUGAAAACUCGAGGCUCAACCUCGAGACGUCGGUUGAAACCGUCUGGCUAGAGUCCGGAAGAGGAGAGUGGAAUUCCCGGUGUAGCGGUGAAAUGCGCAGAUAUCGGGAAGAACACCCGUGGCGAAGGCGGCUCUCUGGGACGGUACUGACGCUGAGAUGCGAAAGCGUGGGGAGCGAACAGG
rnacentral:rRNA from 1 species